rnacentral:lncRNA from 1 species
AACCGUUCAUAUUCUUCACAACCAGAAACUAAACUCAGGUCCCAUAUUAGCAACUUCGUUACAUGAAGGUAGCAAGCAGGUAGGAAAAGCAAAAGGCAACUCAUGUCCCAACUUAGCAUGAAUCCUGGCGUCCGGAGGCACACCAUUUCACAUUUUAUUCUCUGCAUAGACAAGCAGCGGGGCCGUUCCACGACCGCAAAGGCCUAGGGAAGGAACCAUGGAGCGGAGAUGACGCUCUACUGGGUCUUGAACAUGUGGCGGAUCAGGUCGACAACACGGUUGCUGUAGCCCCACUCGUUGUCGUACCAGGAGACAAGCUUGACGAAGUUGUCGUUCAGAGCAAUUCCAGCCUUGGCGUCGAAGAUGCUCGACCUAAGUGGAAACA